UCAUGGCUGAUGCUGACUGAAGAAUCUAAAGAUUCUCUUAUAAGUGGCCACAUUUCGUCUCGUUGUUCGAUCAACAUCCUCCAUUGGGGACAAGAAUUUCUUAUCCACUCAGAAAUUCCUUCAAGAGGAAGACAAUGCCCCCACAGAGAAAUUCGUGUGCAGAAGUUUUCUAGUACUUGGCCCAUUGGGAGUUCCAAAUCUUAGGCAUGUAAUGGAAGAGUCCAGCUACGCUGUAGCUUGCUGUUUAAGAAGAUGAAGGCCAAAGCUAUGCUCAGGACAAACAGAGAUUGAACCAGUUAUUUGAAGUACUAUGCAGUGAGAUAUCCAUGGAUAUUCUCUCCUGAGGCCUUUGCAACUCAUGACACUUAGAUGGAUCUUGUAACACGAUGAUAGUAAAUUGUUUCCCUGUCAUCCCUACUUUUGCAGCUCUGUUGAAGGGACUUUGCAUGCAGAAGGCUUCUUGACUUGCAUGCUUCCUCUGUUAA